CUUCACUCACAUGCCUAGGUACAAAAAGCUUUACUACCUACUUACUUUGGUUGAUAAUUUUACAGGUUGGGUACAAUCCUUCCCUACAUCUAGGGAAAUUGCUGACACCAUUGUCUCCAUCCUCAUUGAGGAGAUCAUUCCCAGGUUUGGACUUCCCAACACCAUCCAGUCAGACAAUGGUCCAGCCUUCACUUCUCAGAUUUUUCAACCAGUCUCCAAAGGCCUCAACAUCACUUGGAGGCUCCACAUCCCCCACCAACCCCUAUUCUCAUUUUCUAUUCCAACCACAGAUGGCAUUUUAACUUCCAAGAAACUUGGCACCAGAUAACAUCACCCACUCUCAAUUUAUGGGUCAAGGCGAUUGCUUUUCACUGGCUAAAAUUGGGCAAACACCCUUAACAUUACUAAAUUCAACCAAGCCACCUCAGAUAAUUCCUAGAGUCCCUACGACAGGACUAAUGGCUGAUACCAAGGAUCUCCUCCACUCAGAAAUGAUUCGAUGCCAUUGACAACCUAUGGCUUCAAGGAAACUUUAUGGACUUUGCCCUUCUGAGAUAACUGUCUAUAGCCACUGGAUGUUAUCUCUAGCUGCCCUGAUAUACCCAAACCUGUUCAUGAACAUUCCACAGCUCUCCCAAGUAGGCCCCAUUUCAGACCCUCUUAGCAGAAAGUAGCCAAACAAUUUUGUGCCAGCCCCCACCCCAUAAUUUAGAAAAACAAAAUGGGAGAAAUUUUAGGUGCAGAACAGCCUGAACUAUGUUCUGCAGGAUAACCCAUGCACUCAAAUACCUUUCUGUCUGGUCUUUUAUCGCCUAUUUGCAUCAAGACUGAAUACUCAACCGCACUCAAGGCUGAACACUUGACCCCCACCUGUCUGGUGCAACAGAAACCCACAUCUUACCCCUGCCCCAUCUUCCUGAAGGCAGAAGAUGACACCCUUAGCAACUAUUGUGCGGUCCAAUCAUUUUCUACCUACAAGGCAGUUUACAGACUCAGAGACCCCAUUAGAAUUUGGCUAUAAAAACUCCCUUGUGCCGGGUCCCCCUAUCUUGCUCUCUCUGUCUCCCUCUCUUGCUUUCACUCUACCUUGCUCUCUCUUUCUUCUCUCUCUCUCUCUCUCUCUCUCUCUCUCUCUCUCUUUCUCUUCUUUGUCAUGGCUGCAAUAAAGCAGUGGUCACUG
rnacentral:lncRNA from 1 species